rnacentral:lncRNA from 1 species
GGUUGCUGAUUGAGCCUGGGCGGUCCAUAGGGGUGCGGAGGGAAGGUGCACGGGUCGCCAUGUUGGGUUAGGGCAGCUGCUUUGGCUGCUUACCCGGAACCCUCUCAAUCUAUUGACUCGACCCGAAUGCCGAGUCUUGGUUCCACACCCACUCCUCCCGACGCCCGGACUCGUAGAGCAGCAUUUCUGGCGCCACCCUAUAGCCAGUAGGAUGGGCGGCGGGAGCAUGGAUCAGAAGCGGUUCCUUGUUUUGAACUACCACGUGGAUUGCCGAGCCAAUCAAGGGGAACGUCCACUUUGAUUCGCCGGCUUGCUCAGACCCCGCUUUAACCUGGGUCAGACGGCAGAACCUCUUAAACGAAAGGUCUCGGCCUGCCUAGUCGUUUCCCGUCCUGGGCCUCUGAGGACCUCGCGGCAAGGCUGCGAGCAGAGGCGUUGGUCUACCUUCCAAAUGGAGGCCAUGGGAUCUUGGGAGGUUUUGUUCUCCACUCUUGGAGACACGAGGAUGGGAACUGGAGACAUUACCGCCUGGACUGCCCUAAUGCUAAGUGCAAGGGCUUUGGCCACUCGCCCUGGAAGGCGGAAUAUGGAGAGCGGCCGACUAAGUGCAGAAAAGUAUCUGGAGCUAAAAGGGCUUGGAGCCCGGCGACAAGGGUUUGAGAGGGGCACUUAUGCUCCCAUUCAGUGAAAUCAGUGGAUCAAUAUCAGUGGAGAAAGGAGAUGUCUGCAUGUGAUGACUGGCUGCCUCCGUGGACUGAGGUUCAGACGUGCCUGGAAACAAACCUAAAGCUGCCCUACCUAAGAAUCACAUCCCAAGCUAGACUUGACCCUCAUACCUGUGAACCCAGACGGUCCAGAAACAAGCUUACCAGUGAGUCUGGGCUCAGGAACAGGUGUGUGUGCCCUUGGUGCUGGGGCUAUUGGAUUGGCCUACCUACAUCCUCAACAGUCUCCACUCUGCCUGAAUGAUCCUGAGGGUAUCAGAAAGCCCUACACUGUUGGUACCUGGGCCCCAACAUACUGUGAACGGAAAUGGGCCUUCUUUCUUUUCCUAUAGGUUAUUUGCUGACAGUUCUAUUAAACUUGUUUCUAAGAGAAAAACA